CUUAGAUGUUCUGGGCUGCACGCGCGCUACACUGAUGCAUCCAACGAGUUUACAACCUUGGCCGACAGGUCUGGGUAAUCUUUUGAGUAUGCAUCGUGAUGGGGAUAGAUUAUUGCAAUUAUUAAUCUUCAACGAGGAAUGCCUAGUAGGCGCAAGUCAGCAGCUUGCGCCGAUUACGUCCCUGCCCUUUGUACACACCGCCCGUCGCUCCUACCGAUUGAGUGUUCCGGUGAAUUAUUCGGACCGUUCCGUGUCG
rnacentral:rRNA from 1 species